rnacentral:rRNA from 1 species
UACGGAGGGUGCAAGCGUUAAUCGGAAUUACUGGGCGUAAAGGGUGCGUAGGUGGUUGUGUAAGUUAUCUGUGAAAUCCCCGGGCUCAACCUGGGCAGGUCAGAUAAUACUGCAUAACUCGAGUAUGGGAGAGGGUAGUGGAAUUUCCGGUGUAGCGGUGAAAUGCGUAGAGAUCGGAAGGAACACCAGUGGCGAAGGCGGCUACCUGGCCCAAUACUGACACUGAGGCACGAAAGCGUGGGGAGCAAACAGGAUUAGAAACCCUAGUAGU